GGGGAAUAUUGGACAAUGGGCGCAAGCCUGAUCCAGCCAUGCCGCGUGGGUGAAGAAGGCCUUCGGGUUGUAAAGCCCUUUUGUUGGGAAAGAAAAGCAGCCGGCCAAUACCCGGUUGUUCUGACGGUACCCAAAGAAUAAGCACCGGCUAACUUCGUGCCAGCAGCCGCGGUAAUACGAAGGGUGCAAGCGUUACUCGGAAUUACUGGGCGUAAAGCGUGCGUAGGUGGUUUUUUAAGUCAGAUGUGAAAGGUACCGGCUCAACCGGUGACAUGCAUUUGAAACUGAAAGACUUGAGUAUUGGAGAGGCAAGUGGAAUUCCUAGUGUAGCGGUGAAAUGCGUAGAUAUUAGGAGGAACACCGGUGGCGAAGGCGGCUUGCUGGACAAAUACUGACGCUGAGGUGCGAAAGCGUGGGGAGCAAACA
rnacentral:rRNA from 1 species